rnacentral:rRNA from 1 species
CCUACGGGAGGCUGCAGUGGGGAAUAUUGGACAAUGGGGGCAACCCUGAUCCAGCCAUGCCGCGUGUGUGAAGAAGGCCCUCGGGUUGUAAAGCACUUUCAGUGAGGAAGAACGCCUGGUGGUUAAUACCCAUCAGGAAAGACAUCACUCACAGAAGAAGCACCGGCUAACUCCGUGCCAGCAGCCGCGGUAAUACGGAGGGUGCGAGCGUUAAUCGGAAUUACUGGGCGUAAAGCGCGCGUAGGUGGCUUGAUAAGCCGGUUGUGAAAGCCCCGGGCUCAACCUGGGAACGGCAUCCGGAACUGUCAAGCUAGAGUGCAGGAGAGGAAGGUAGAAUUCCCGGUGUAGCGGUGAAAUGCGUAGAGAUCGGGAGGAAUACCAGUGGCGAAGGCGGCCUUCUGGACUGACACUGACACUGAGGUGCGAAAGCGUGGGUAGCAAACAGGAUUAGAUACCCCAGUAGCC